rnacentral:rRNA from 1 species
AGAGAGCUUGCUCUCGGGUGACGAGCGGCGGACGGGUGAGUAAUGUCUGGGAAACUGCCUGAUGGAGGGGGAUAACUACUGGAAACGGUAGCUAAUACCGCAUAAUGUCGCAAGACCAAAGUGGGGGACCUUCGGGCCUCAUGCCAUCAGAUGUGCCCAGAUGGGAUUAGCUAGUAGGUGGGGUAACGGCUCACCUAGGCGACGAUCCCUAGCUGGUCUGAGAGGAUGACCAGCCACACUGGAACUGAGACACGGUCCAGACUCCUACGGGAGGCAGCAGUGGGGAAUAUUGCACAAUGGGCGCAAGCCUGAUGCAGCCAUGCCGCGUGUGUGAAGAAGGCCUUCGGGUUGUAAAGCACUUUCAGCGGGGAGGAAGGCGAUAAGGUUAAUAACCUUGGCGAUUGACGUUACCCGCAGAAGAAGCACCGGCUAACUCCGUGCCAGCAGCCGCGGUAAUACGGAGGGUGCAAGCGUUAAUCGGAAUUACUGGGCGUAAAGCGCACGCAGGCGGUCUGUCAAGUCGGAUGUGAAAUCCCCGGGCUCAACCUGGGAACUGCAUUCGAAACUGGCAGGCUAGAGUCUUGUAGAGGGGGGUAGAAUUCCAGGUGUAGCGGUGAAAUGCGUAGAGAUCUGGAGGAAUACCGGUGGCGAAGGCGGCCCCCUGGACAAAGACUGACGCUCAGGUGCGAAAGCGUGGGGAGCAAACAGGAUUAGAUACCCUGGUAGUCCACGCCGUAAACGAUGUCGAUUUGGAGGUUGUGCCCUUGAGGCGUGGCUUCCGGAGCUAACGCGUUAAAUCGACCGCCUGGGGAGUACGGCCGCAAGGUUAAAACUCAAAUGAAUUGACGGGGGCCCGCACAAGCGGUGGAGCAUGUGGUUUAAUUCGAUGCAACGCGAAGAACCUUACCUGGUCUUGACAUCCACAGAACUUUCCAGAGAUGGAUUGGUGCCUUCGGGAACUGUGAGACAGGUGCUGCAUGGCUGUCGUCAGCUCGUGUUGUGAAAUGUUGGGUUAAGUCCCGCAACGAGCGCAACCCUUAUCCUUUGUUGCCAGCGGUUCGGCCGGGAACUCAAAGGAGACUGCCAGUGAUAAACUGGAGGAAGGUGGGGAUGACGUCAAGUCAUCAUGGCCCUUACGACCAGGGCUACACACGUGCUACAAUGGCAUAUACAAAGAGAAGCGACCUCGCGAGAGCAAGCGGACCUCAUAAAGUAUGUCGUAGUCCGGAUUGGAGUCUGCAACUCGACUCCAUGAAGUCGGAAUCGCUAGUAAUCGUAGAUCAGAAUGCUACGGUGAAUACGUUCCCGGGCCUUGUACACACCGCCCGUCACACCAUGGGAGUGGGUUGCAAAAGAAGUAGGUAG